rnacentral:rRNA from 1 species
CGAAGGGGGCUAGCGUUGUUCGGAAUUAUUGGGCGUAAAGGGCGCGUAGGCGGUCCCUUAAGUCAGAUGUGAAAUCCCGAGGCUUAACCUCGGGCGUGCAUUUGAAACUGGGGGACUAGAGUGCAGGAGAGGUAAGUGGAAUUCCUAGUGUAGCGGUGAAAUGCGUAGAUAUUAGGAGGAACACCAGUGGCGAAGGCGACUUACUGGACUGUAACUGACGCUGAGGCGCGAAAGCGUGGGGAGCAAACAGGAUUAGAUACCCUGGUAGUCCACGCUGUAAACGAUGGAUACUAGGUGUGGGAGGUAUCGACCCCUUCCGUGCCGCAGUAAACGCAAUAAGUAUCCCGCCUGGGGAGUACGGCCGCAAGGUUG